UUCCUUGCUCUACUGUGUUCUUUUAACCUUUCUUCAUGUCAAGACCCAGAAACUUCAUUUGUAUUUACACCGUUGCAGCUCCCUGCAUCAUUACACCCAGUCAUUGCGAAUUUUCUUUGCCAUUUUCACAUCGUCACUUGUCCAGGAUCAGGUUGUUGCAUUAACAUUCAAGUUUGGAUACAAGCAGCAUUCUUGAAUCCUCAGUCAUAUGUGGUUAUCCAAGAGCUUAGAAAUGGCACGCCUUAAGUCACACAGGAAAUAAUAGCAGGAAUCUACUUUAUGGAGAUCCUAAGAGGCUUACACCAUAGGGGAUUGCUAGCAAGAUUUAUAUUGGUGAAGCUCAUUGUGUAAGUCAAUGGGGACAUGACUUCUGUCCAGAUUACCAAGGUCUCGUAUGGCUCAAUCAGAACGUCCCUAGAGUCUUAAUCAUGGCUUUAACUGCAACAGCAGCUAGCGAUUUUGGUAAGGGACUAAAGCACUUCCCUCCUGUUACCACCAUAUAAGCAUUUCCCUCCCCGUUGCAACUCUACAGCUUGGUGCAGAAAUCGUUAGCUCUAGUUUUGGAUGGAAUCCUGCUUAUGUUUACAUCCCUUUCUCCUCCAUCAUGCGUAUUGGUCAAAUGCUGGACCAUGCAUCAAUCUUGAACAAUAUCAUGGGGGCAUUUGACCGCCGGUGACAUUACAUCCGAAGACUUAUUUCUUUCUCAAAAGGUGAGAAUUGAUACUACAUGAAAAAAGGUGUUUGAAACAACUUUAUUCAUACAAAUCUCUUAUCUACACGUUUUGUUCUCCCCACCAGUAGAUUGUAGCUACUCAUAGUGGUAACGCUUGUCUUUUCAUGCUUAGCAUUUUCGCAUAU